rnacentral:rRNA from 1 species
GGGCUUCGGUAACACUCAUCACCCUGUGACAUACCUAAACGUUGCCUCGGCGGGAACAGACGGCCCCGUGAAACGGGCCGCCCCCGCCAGAGGACCCCCUAACUCUGUUUCUAUAAUGUUUCUUCUGAGUAAAACAAGCAAAUAAAUUAAAACUUUCAACAACGGAUCUCUUGGCUCUGGCAUCGAUGAAGAACGCAGCGAAAUGCGAUAAGUAAUGUGAAUUGCAGAAUUCAGUGAAUCAUCGAAUCUUUGAACGCACAUUGCGCCCGCCAGUAUUCUGGCGGGCAUGCCUGUUCGAGCGUCAUUACAACCCUCAGGCCCCCGGGCCUGGCGUUGGGGAUCGGCGGAGCCCCCCGUGGGCACACGCCGUCCCCCAAAUACAGUGGCGGUCCCGCCGCAGCUUCCAUCGCGUAGUAGCUAACACCUCGCGACUGGAGAGCGGCGCGGCCACGCCGUAAAACACCCCAACUCUUCUGAAGUUGACCUCGAAUCAGGUAGGAAUACCCGCUGAACUUAAGCAUAUCAAUAAGCCGGAGGA